rnacentral:lncRNA from 1 species
UUUGCUAAAAAGAAAACCCCAAACAAAAAACGAAUGUUCAUUGCCUUGAACAUUGUCAUUCACUGCCCCAUUUACAAAAUAACUUGAAAUUUUGUGACAAUCAAACUAUUUUAUUAUAUUCACUUAAAAUUAUAUGCCUUAAAAUUAUAUUUUACUAUUUUAAGAUGACCAUCAUUUUUGCUGUCUUCACUUUCUUUGUUGCCUGGAUUUGGAACAAAGAACACAAGAUAGACAUAUGUAAAUAAUUUAUCUUGUAUACAUAUGGAUUCACAGCAGACAGAUGUAAUGGCAUUUCCAAUUACAAAGUUAUUUAGAAACACUAGAGCAAUAUCCCAUUAUCUAACCACAGUACCUGAAACCCAAUUUCCUAUUAGAUCCCAUAUGCUAGUCUUCUUUUCUGCAAAAAUUCUACAAGAGAACCUGUUCAGUUUAGGUUUAAUUUUUUUUCUUUUUCAAAUCAAUGAAAAAGGAAAGAUCUGCAAGACAAAUCACAAGUUAACUUAAACAUUUUAUUUAACAUAAUCGAUCACAAGCUACACUGGGGUAAACCUCUCAGUUUGUUGAUAUGUGGACUUAUAUAACUUCAUAUCAUUUUUGAAAUGGCUGAAGGAAAUGCUAAAUUCAAAAAAGCAUUGGCUUUCAACUAAAGAAUCCUACACUGGGUCAAAAUGGAUAAAAUAUAGAAACAAAUUCACACGCACAGAAUGUCCAAAUUCAUAUGAUGAGAGGCCUAAGUUACACUUUUCAUCGUGAAAUUCAAGAUAAUGCAACAUUCACUUGAAUUCUUAUUUCUGACAAAUGUGCUAUAUUCUAAUAUUAGGUCAAUUGAAGAGUCUGGUUUCCCUCUGCUUUAAUCCUACUACAGUGACCAGAGGGCUCUGGAAAGUCAUCUCUGUGCCACAAACUGGGCCAGGUUUCACUCAAUUCAAAGGUUCUGAAUCUAGACCCAGUGAAGGACUUAACAGUGUGUGGAGGUGGCCUGUGGACCAGCCAAACAAAGUGCCAAGAUCGUACCACAAGAUAAGCUGCCCUCCCUCUAAUUCAAAGGCAUAUAUCUGAUUACCUAUUUAAUAAAGGAACUCGUGACUAUGGCCCUGAUGUUGUG